rnacentral:rRNA from 1 species
UACGUAGGGUGCAAGCGUUGUCCGGAAUUAUUGGGCGUAAAGAGCUCGUAGGCGGCUUGUCACGUCGGGUGUGAAAGCUCGGGGCUCAACCCCGAGUCUGCAUUCGAUACGGGCAGGCUAGAGUGUGGUAGGGGAGAUCGGAAUUCCUGGUGUAGCGGCGAAAUGCGCAGAUAUCAGGAGGAACACCGGUGGCGAAGGCGGAUCUCUGGGCCAUUACUGACGCUGAGGAGCGAAAGCGUGGGGAGCGAACAGG